rnacentral:rRNA from 1 species
AGUGAGUGAUUGAGGCCCUAGGGUUGUAAAGCUCUUUUAGCAAGGAAGAUAAUGACGUUACUUGCAGAAAAAGCCCCGGCUAACUCCGUGCCAGCAGCCGCGGUAAGACGGAGGGGGCUAGCGUUGUUCGGAAUUACUGGGCGUAAAGAGUGCGUAGGCGGUUUAGUAAGUUGGAAGUGAAAGCCCGGGGCUUAACCUCGGAAUUGCUUUCAAAACUACUAAUCUAGAGUGUAGUAGAGGAUGAUGGAAUUCC